rnacentral:rRNA from 1 species
CGCGUAGGCGGUGAGAUGAGUGUGAUGUGAAAGCCCCGAGCUUAACUUGGGAAGUGCAUCGCAAACGAUCUGACUGGAGUAUAUGAGAGGGUGGCGGAAUUUCCGGUGUAGCGGUGAAAUGCGUAGAGAUCGGAAGGAACGUCAAUGGCGAAGGCAGCCACCUGGCAUAAUACUGACGCUGAGGCGCGAAAGCGUGGGGAGCGAACA